GACGAACGCUGGCGGCGUGCCUAAUACAUGCAAGUAGAACGCUGAAGGAGGAGCUUGCUUCUCUGGAUGAGUUGCGAACGGGUGAGUAACGCGUAGGUAACCUGCCUGGUAGCGGGGGAUAACUAUUGGAAACGAUAGCUAAUACCGCAUAAUAGUAGAUGUUGCAUGACAUUUGCUUAAAAGGUGCAAUUGCAUCACUACCAGAUGGACCUGCGUUGUAUUAGCUAGUUGGUGGGGUAACGGCUCACCAAGGCGACGAUACAUAGCCGACCUGAGAGGGUGAUCGGCCACACUGGGACUGAGACACGGCCCAGACUCCUACGGGAGGCAGCAGUAGGGAAUCGUCGGCAAUGGACGGAAGUCUGACCGAGCAACGCCGCGUGAGUGAAGAAGGUUUUCGGAUCGUAAAGCUCUGUUGUAAGAGAAGAACGAGUGUGAGAGUGGAAAGUUCACACUGUGACGGUAUCCUACCAGAAAGGGACGGCUAACUACGUG
rnacentral:rRNA from 1 species